UGGGGAAUUUUGCGCAAUGGGGGAAACCCUGACGCAGCAACGCCGCGUGAGUGAUGAAGGCCUUCGGGUCGUAAAGCUCUGUCAGAGGGGAAGAAAUGCAGGGGUGCUAAUAUCAUCUUUGCUUGACGGUACCCUCAAAGGAAGCACCGGCUAACUCCGUGCCAGCAGCCGCGGUAAUACGGAGGGUGCGAGCGUUGUUCGGAAUUAUUGGGCGUAAAGCGCGUGUAGGCGGUUUGGUAAGUCUGAUGUGAAAGCCCCGGGCUCAACCUGGGAAGUGCAUUGGAAACUGUCAGACUUGAGUACGGAAGAGGGUAGUGGAAUACCUAGUGUAGGAGUGAAAUCCGUAGAUAUUAGGAAGAACACCGGUGGCGAAGGCGGCUACCUGGACCGAUAUUGACGCUGAGACGCGAAAGCGUGGGGAGCAAACAG
rnacentral:rRNA from 1 species